AUCCAACUGACGAGUCCCAAAUAGGACGAAACGCCAAUUUCGGAU
rnacentral:hammerhead_ribozyme from 1 species